UCUGUUGUGUUGAGACUCAGAAAUGACUUGUGGACUUAGUUUGGGAAUCUUGGAGGUUGUGUUUGUUCAAGCAGAGCUUGUAUGUUGUUUGUGGACUAAAGGAGCUCAGAAUAUCCAGAACAGCAACACACAUGUUGGCUUCCCACCACCAGAUGGCAGAUGGCUGAAAUCUGUCAGCUAUCCCCAGAAUCAAGUCACAAGGCUUUGUUUCUCUAUACUCAGUCCAGAGCAGUAGCUGGAGUAUCCAGAGGAAAUCUGCACAUGGAGAACAUGCAAACCCCAGAGAAGACCCUGGGCCGGGAUUCAGUCUGGGAGGCAA